CACGAACGCUGGCGGCAGGCUUAACACAUGCAAGUCGAGCGCCCCGCAAGGGGAGCGGCAGACGGGUGAGUAACGCGUGGGAAUCUACCCAUCUCUACGGAAUAACGCAUGGAAACGUGUGCUAAUACCGUAUACGUCCUUCGGGAGAAAGAUUUAUCGGAGAUGGAUGAGCCCGCGUUGGAUUAGCUAGUUGGUGGGGUAAAGGCUUACCAAGGCGACGAUCCAUAGCUGGUCUGAGAGGAUGAUCAGCCACACUGGGACUGAGACACGGCCGAGACUCCUCCGGGAGGCAGUAGUGGUGAAUAUUGGACAAGGGGCGCAAGCCUGAUCCAGCCAUGCCGCGUGAGUGAUGAAGGCCCUAGGGUUGUAAAGCUCUUUCACCGGUGAAGAUAAUGACGGUAACCGGAGAAGAAGCCCCGGCUAACUUCGUGCCAGCAGCCGCCGUAAUAC
rnacentral:rRNA from 1 species